UACGAAGGGGGCUAGCGUUGCUCGGAAUCACUGGGCGUAAGCGCACGUAGGCGGCUUUUAAGUCAGGGGUGAAAUCCUGGAGCUCAACUCCAGAACUGCCUUUGAUACUGAGAAGCUUGAGUCCGGGAGAGGUGAGUGGAACUGCGAGUGUAGAGGUGAAAUUCGUAGAUAUUCGGAAGAACACCAGUGGCGAAGGCGGCUCACUGGACUGGUAUUGACGCUGAGGUGCGAAAGCGUGGGGAGCAAACAGG
rnacentral:rRNA from 1 species